rnacentral:rRNA from 1 species
GACGAACGCUGGCGGCGUGCUUAACACAUGCAAGUCGAACGGAAAGGCCCUGCUUUUGUGGGGUGCUCGAGUGGCGAACGGGUGAGUAACACGUGAGUAACCUGCCCUUGACUUUGGGAUAACUUCAGGAAACUGGGGCUAAUACCGGAUAGGAGCUCCUGCUGCAUGGUGGGGGUUGGAAAGUUUCGGCGGUUGGGGAUGGACUCGCGGCUUAUCAGCUUGUUGGUGGGGUAGUGGCUUACCAAGGCUUUGACGGGUAGCCGGCCUGGGAGGGUGACCGGCCACAUUGGGACUGAGAUACGGCCAGGACUCCUACGGGAGGCAGCGGUGGGGAAUAGAGCGCGAUGGGCGGAAGCCUGAUGCAGCAACGCCGCGUGCGAGAUGACGGCCUUCGGGUUGGAAACCGCUUUCGCCUGUGACGAAGCGUGAGUGACGGUAAUGGGUAAAGAAGCACCGGCUAACUACGUG